rnacentral:rRNA from 1 species
AUUGAACGCUGGCGGCAGGCCUAACACAUGCAAGUCGAGCGAGCGGCGGACGGGUGAGUAAUGUCUGGGAAACUGCCUGAUUGAGGGGGAUAACUACUGGAAACGGUAACUAAUACCGCAUACCAUCAGAUGUGCCCAGAUGGGAUUAGCUAGUGGGUGGGGUAACGCCUCACAUAGGCGCCGAUCCCUAGCUGGUGUGAGAGGAUGACCAGCCACAUUGGACUGGGGACACGGCCCAGACUCCUCCGGGAGGCAGCAGUGGGAAUUAUCGCAAAAUGGGCGCAAUCUGAAGGCAGCCAUGCGGCGUGUGUGAGGAAGGCUUUCGGGUGGUAAAGCACGUUCAGCGGGGAGGCGUUACCCGCAGAAGAAGCACCGGCUAACUCCGUGCCAGCCGCCGCGGUAAUUC